rnacentral:misc_RNA from 1 species
CCGGAAGUGCGCUGAACACUCCUUUCUGAGCGAUGUCGUUACAAUGACUUCAUGGUUCAUUUCCUUUAGGGGAAUAUUGAACCGGGUUCUGUUCAGAUUGUACUACUGGUACUUGUUUAUUUAUAAUAUAUAGAUCAACCAUCUAUAGUAAUAUAGAUAGAGAUAAACAAGAGAAAACAGAAGCCGAGUCUAAAGACAGACACGGUUGAACUAGUCCUAUAGCUCAGUUGGUUAGAGCGCUACACUGAUAAUGUAGAGGUCGGCAGUUCAACUCUGCCUGGGACUACUCCGAAACGACUCUUACGGGGGAUUAGCUCAGCUGGCUAGAGCAUCUGCCUUGCACGCAGAGGGUCAACGGUUCGAAUCCGUUAUUCUCCACAUCCCCAGCAAUGGGAAACGAUCUUUGACAUGAUGUACAAAAAGUAAAAUAAAAGUAAAGAGCUAAAAGUAUAUAUCAAACCGUACUCUCUCCGAUAUUUCCCAUUUCAGUAAUGGAUAGUUUUCGGAGCAGUCAGUUUGAAAGAAAGUAAGCAAGGGCGCAUGGCGGAUGCCUUGGCUCUCGGAGGCGAUGAAGGACGUGAUAAGCUGCGAUAAGCUUCGGGUAGGUGCAAAUAACCUUUGAUCCGAAG